GGAAUCUUAGACAAUGGGCGCAAGCCUGAUCUAGCCAUGCCGCGUGAGUGACGAAGGCCUUAGGGUCGUAAAGCUCUUUCGCCAGAGAUGAUAAUGACAGUAUCUGGUAAAGAAACCCCGGCUAACUCCGUGCCAGCAGCCGCGGUAAUACGGAGGGGGUUAGCGUUGUUCGGAAUUACUGGGCGUAAAGCGCACGUAGGCGGAUCGGAAAGUUGGGGGUGAAAUCCCGGGGCUCAACCUCGGAACUGCCUUCAAAACUAUCGGUCUAGAGUUCGAGAGAGGUGAGUGGAAUUGCGAGUGUAGAGGUGAAAUUCGUAGAUAUUCGCAGGAACACCAGUGGCGAAGGCGGCUCACUGGCUCGAUACUGACGCUGAGGUGCGAAAGUGUGGGGAGC
rnacentral:rRNA from 1 species